UUCCCAUAAGCUUUGGAGGCUAAGCGCCUGACUGUUAAUCAUGAGAAGUAGGUUCGACUCCUACAUGGGAAG
rnacentral:tRNA from 1 species